rnacentral:rRNA from 1 species
CCUACGGGUGGCAGCAGUGGGGAAUAUUGGACAAUGGGCGAAAGCCUGAUCCAGCCAUGCCGCGUGUGUGAAGAAGGCCUUCGGGUUGUAAAGCACUUUCAGUGGGGAAGAAAGCCUUGGGGCUAAUACCCUCGAGGAAGGACAUCACCCACAGAAGAAGCACCGGCUAACUCCGUGCCAGCAGCCGCGGUAAUACGGAGGGUGCGAGCGUUAAUCGGAAUUACUGGGCGUAAAGCGCGCGUAGGCGGUCUGAUAAGCCGGUUGUGAAAGCCCCGGGCUCAACCUGGGAACGGCAUCUGGAACUGUCAGGCUAGAGUGCAGGAGAGGAAGGUAGAAUUCCCGGUGUAGCGGUGAAAUGCGUAGAGAUCGGGAGGAAUACCAGUGGCGAAGGCGGCCUUCUGGACUGACACUGACGCUGAGGUGCGAAAGCGUGGGUAGCAAACAGGAUUAGAUACCCUAGUAGUC